AUGUAAUGUAAUUCCUAAAGUGUUAAUGCACCAGAUCCCAUUAGAAAACCACAGUUAAGCAUGCUUGGGAUGGAGUAGUACUAGGAUGGGUGACCUCUUAGGAAGUCCUAGUGAUUUACAUG
rnacentral:rRNA from 1 species